GGGGCUGUAGCUCAGUGGAAGAACCUCUGCUUGGCAUGCCAGGCCCCGGGUUCAGUCCCCGACACCCCCA
rnacentral:tRNA from 1 species